rnacentral:rRNA from 1 species
GAUGAACGCUGGCGGCGUGCUUAACACAUGCAAGUCGAACGGAAAGGCUCCUGCUUGCAGGGGUACUCGAGUGGCGAACGGGUGAGCAACACGUGGGUGAUCUGCCCUGCACUUCGGGAUAAGCCUGGGAAACUGGGUCUAAUACCGGAUAGGACGAUGGUUUGGAUGCCAUUGUGGAAAGUUUUUUCGGUGUGGGAUGAGCUCGCGGCCUAUCAGCUUGUUGGUGGGGUAAUGGCCUACCAAGGCGUCGACGGGUAGCCGGCCUGAGAGGGUGUACGGCCACAUUGGGACUGAGAUACGGCCCAGACUCCUACGGGGGGCAGCAGUGGGGAAUAUUGCACAAUGGGCGCAAGCCUGAUGCAGCGACGCCGCGUGGGGGAUGACGGCCUUCGGGUUGUAAACUCCUUUCGCUAGGGACGAAGCGCAAGUGACGGUACCUGGAGAAGAAGCACCGGCUAACUACGUG